rnacentral:rRNA from 1 species
GAUGAACGCUGGCGGCGCGCCUAACACAUGCAAGUCGAACGAUUAAAGCACCUUCGGGUGUGUAUAAAGUGGCGAACGGCUGAGUAACACGUGUGCAACCUGCCCCUUUCAUUGGGAUAGCCACGGGAAACCGUGGAUAAUACCGAAUACUUCGAGACUUCCUCAUGGAAGACUCGAGAAAGCUCCGGCGGAGAGGGAUGGGCCCGCGGCCUGUUAGCUUGUUGGUGGGGUAACGGCCUACCAAGGCAAUGAUGGGUAGCUGGGUUGAGAGACCGACCAGCCAGAUGGGGACUGAGACACGGCCCAGACUCCAACGGGAGGCAGAAGUGGGGAAUCUUGCACAAGGGGCGAAAGCCGAAUGCAGAGACGCCGCGUGCGGGAUGAGGCCUUCGGGUUGUAAACCGCUUUCAGCAGGGACGAGGCGAAAGUGACGGUACCUGCAGAAGAAGCCCCGGCUAACUACGUG